rnacentral:tRNA from 1 species
GAUUAAAUGGCUGAAAAUAUAGGCGGUAGACUGUAAAUUUAUUUAUAAGAAAUUAUUCUUUUUAAUCA